rnacentral:rRNA from 1 species
AACGAACGCUGGCGGCAUGCCUAACACAUGCAAGUCGAACGAGACCUUCGGGUCUAGUGGCGCACGGGUGCGUAACGCGUGGGAACCUGCCCUUAGGUUCGGAAUAACUCCCCGAAAGGGGUGCUAAUACCGGAUAAUGUCUUCGGACCAAAGAUUUAUCGCCUUUGGAUGGGCCCGCGUUGGAUUAGCUAGUUGGUAGGGUAAAAGCCUACCAAGGCGACGAUCCAUAGCUGGUCUGAGAGGAUGAUCAGCCACACUGGGACUGAGACACGGCCCAGACUCCUACGGGAGGCAGCAGUGGGGAAUAUUGGACAAUGGGCGAAAGCCUGAUCCAGCAAUGCCGCGUGAGUGAUGAAGGCCUUAGGGUUGUAAAGCUCUUUUACCCGGGAUGACAAUGACAGUACCGGGAGGAUAAGCUCCGGCUAACUCCGUG